rnacentral:rRNA from 1 species
AAUCAACGCUGGCGGCGUGCCUAACACAUGCAAGUCGAACGCGAAGACCUCGCAAGGGGUUUGUAGCGUGGCAAACGGGUGAGUAACACGUGGGUGACCUGCCUUCGAGCGGGGGAUAACGUCCCGAAAGGGACGCUAAUACCGCAUAACAUCCUGCCUUUGAAGAGGUGGAGAUCAAAGCCGGGGAUCGCAAGACCUGGCACUCGAAGAGGGGCCCGCGCCUGAUUAGCUAGUUGGCGAGGUAAUGGCUCACCAAGGCAACGAUCAGUA